AUCAUGGAGAGUUUGAUCCUGGCUCAGGACGAACGCUGGCGGCGUGCCUAACACAUGCAAGUCGAACGGAGAGAUACGAGAGCUUGCUCUUGUAAAUCUUAGUGGCAAACGGGUGAGUAACGCGUAAACAACCUGCCCAACGGAUGGGGACAACAGACGGAAACGACUGCUAAUACCCAAUAGACUCCGGUUUCGCAUGAAACCGACAGGAAAGGUGGCCUCUCGAAGAAGCUACCGCCGCAGGAGGGGUUUGCGUUUGAUUAGUUAGUUGGUGGGGUAACGGCCUACCAAGACGAUGAUCAAUAGCCGGUCUGAGAGGAUGAACGGCCACACUGGAACUGAGACACGGUCCAGACUCCUACGGGAGGCAGCAGUGGGGAAUCUUCCGCAAUGGACGAAAGUCUGACGGAGCAACGCCGCGUGAGUGAAGAAGGCCUUCGGGUUGUAAAGCUCUGUUAUUCGGGAAGAACGAUUCGUUUGUAAAUAAUGAACGGAAGUGACGGUACCGAAAGAGAAAGCCACGGCUAACUACGUGCCAGCAGCCGCGGUAAUACGUAGGUGGCAAGCGUUGUCCGGAAUUAUUGGGCGUAAAGAGCGCGUAGGCGGUAUGAUAAGUCUGUCUUAGAAGUGCGGGGCUUAACCCCGUGAGGGGACAGAGACUGUCAUACUAGAGUCUCGGAGAGGAAAGCGGAAUUCCUAGUGUAGCGGUGAAAUGCGUAGAGAUUAGGAAGAACACCGGUGGCGAAGGCGGCUUUCUGGACGAGCACUGACGCUGAGGCGCGAAAGCGUGGGGAGCGAACAGGAUUAGAUACCCUGGUAGUCCACGCCGUAAACGAUGGGUACUAGGUGUAGGAGGUAUCGACCCCUUCUGUGCCGGAGUUAACGCAAUAAGUACCCCGCCUGGGGAGUACGGUCGCAAGAUUAAAACUCAAAGGAAUUGACGGGGGCCCGCACAAGCGGUGGAGUAUGUGGUUUAAUUCGACGCAACGCGAAGAACCUUACCAGGUCUUGACAUUGAUCG
rnacentral:rRNA from 1 species